GUAUAAAGCAACAAGAACUGGUAAGUUACUUCUCUGCUUAGCUGUUCUUGUCUAGCUGGGUUUUUGGGGGUUCAUCUUCUUUCUUUCUUUUCAUUACUUUGCUGGGGGAAAAGGUUUUAAUUUGGUGUUACAGAUAAGAUUAUUUAAGAUUCUGAGUUUCUUUUAGUGGGGGGCUUUGGCCAAGGGGAUCUCUCUAUAUUAUUACACAUUCCGUGUGAUUCUUUUGGGCGUUGAGGUUUUAAUUUCUGGAAGAUUAAUGUGAGCUACUGAGAGUGAAGAAAGGAGGUAGCUUUUAAGUGUUUGUUUUCUGAGUGAAAUUGAUCUGGGUAUUAAGGGAUAGAUCCAAAGUCUCGUUCUUUCUGGGAAAAUUAGCAGUUUUUUUUUUUUUUUUUGUUUGGUUGUUGUACGUUAGGGUUUUUGGAGGCUUAGCUAUUGUAAGUUUCUUUGUUGGAUUCUGUUGAGUGAGAGAAAGUAUGGCUUGCAUGAAGCUGGGAUCCAAAUCUGAUGCUUUCCAGAGACAAGGCCAGGCUUGGUUUUGCACAACUGGACUUCCAAGUGAUGUUGUCGUUGAAGUUGGGGAAAUGUCUUUCCAUCUCCACAAGUUUCCUUUGCUCUCUAGAAGUGGAGUCAUGGAAAGAAACAUCGCAGAGGCAUCUCAAGAAGCAGAUGAUGACAAAUGUCUCAUUCAAAUCUCUGAUCUUCCCGGAGGAGACAAAACCUUCGAGCUAAUGGCCAAGUUCUGCUACGGCGUAAAGCUAGAACUCACCGCCUCCAACGUUGUACACCUCAGAUGCGCAGCUGAGCAUCUCGAAAUGACUGAAGAGCACGCCGAAGGAAACCUAAUCUCCCAAACCGAAACUUUCCUCAACCAAGUCGUCCUCAAAAGCUGGAAAGACUCACUAAAAUCCCUCCAAACCUGCAGCGAGGUCUCCCACUACGCUGAGGAGUUAAACAUCACCAAGAAAUGCAUAGAGUCGCUAGCCGUGAGAGCAUCAACAACAGACCCGAACCUUUUCGGAUGGCCGGUCGUGGACCCCAUGCAGAGUCCAGGUGGCAGCGUGUUAUGGAACGGGAUAAGCACGGGGGCUAGAGUUAAACACACUAGCUCAGAUUGGUGGUACGAGGACGCGUCCACGCUUAGCUUUCCUCUCUUUAAGAGACUCAUCACAGUCAUGGACUCACGAGGAGGCGUAAGAGAAGACAUCAUCGCCGGUUCUUUAACUUACUACACAAGAAAACACUUACCCGGUUUAAAACGACGCCGUGGAGAACCUGAAGCUAGCGGUCGUUUCAGCAGCUCAGGGACGGUACUCUCCGAAGAAGAGCAGAAGCACUUGCUCGAAGAGAUCCAAGACCUUCUCCCCGUGCAAAAAGGUUUAGUCCCGACCAAGUUCUUCGUCGACAUGCUCAGAGUCGCCAAGAUUCUGAAGGCUAGCCAGCUAACUUGGAGAAGAGGAUAGGGAUGCAGCUCGACCAGGCGGCGUUGGAGGAUCUUGUGAUGCCUAGCUUUACUCAUACGAUGGAGACUCUAUACGAUGUUGACUCUGUGCAGAGGAUCUUGGAUCAUUUUCUUGGUACUGAUCAGAUCAUGACUGUUGGUGGUGGUGUUGGCUCUCCUUGCUCUUCGGUGGAUGAUGGGAACUUGAUGGGAUCACCGCAGAGGAUAACGCCGAUGACGGCGGUUUCGAAGCUGAUUGAUGGGUAUCUUGCUGAAGUGGCUCCUGAUGUUAAUCUCAAGCUUCCCAAGUUUCAAGCUUUAGCUGGUUCUGUUCCUGAGUGUGCUAGGCUCUUGGAUGAUGGACUCUAUCGUGCAAUAGACAUUUACCUAAAGCAUCAUCCGUGGUUAGCGGAAACAGAGAGAGAGAAUCUUUGCAGGUUGUUAGACUGCCAGAAACUCUCUUUAGAAGCUUGCACACACGCGGCGCAGAACGACAGAUUACCACUAAGAGUAAUCGUCCAAGUCCUCUUCUUUGAGCAGCUUCAGCUUAGAACCUCUGUAGCUGGAUGCUUCCUGGUUUCAGACAACCUCGAUGGUGGGUCAAGGCAGUUAAGAAGCGGCGGAUUUGCAGGAGGAUCAGCCGAAGGAGGAGGAGGAGGAGGAGGAUGGGCAAGUGCAGUAAGAGAGAAUCAAGUCUUGAAAGUUGGGAUGGACAGUAUGAGGAUGAGGGUUUGCGAGUUGGAGAAAGAGUGUUCUAAUAUGAGACAGGAGAUUGAGAAACUCGGUAAGACGAGUAAGGUUGGUGGUGGUGGCAAAACGUGGGAGAAUGUUUCUAAGAAACUCGGGUUUGGUAUAAAGCUGAAGUCACAUCAGAUGUGCAGUGCUCAAGAAGGGUCUGUGUCAAAGUCUAACAGUGAGAAUGUGAAGAUAGAGAAGCUUAAGGAUGUCAAGGAACGUCGUGGGAAGCAUAAGAAAGCUUCGAGCAUUAGUUCUGAAAGGUGAAAAUGGUAAAAAGUUUUCAUGGUUUAGCUUUUAAGGAAGAAGAAAGAGCUUAACAUUGUUAAAAAAAUAUGUGCAUUGUAGUCAAAGUGGUGCUUGUUCUCACGUGUUAUUUUCGAUUGUCUAUGUAUGACGACCAAACUGUUUUAUUGUCAUUAUUAUUGGAACUUGUUAAGGAAA